GACGCUGGCGGCGUGCCUAACACAUGCAAGUCGAACGGGGUAAUGACUUCGGUUAUUACUUAGUGGCGAACGGGUGAGUAACGCGUGAGGAACCUGCCUUCAGUGGGGGACAACAGUUGGAAACGACUGCUAAUACCGCAUAAAGUUUCUGGAUCGCAUGAUUUGGAAACCAAAGAUUUAUUGCUGAAAGAUGGCCUCGCGUCUGAUUAGCUAGUUGGUGAGGUAACGGCUCACCAAGGCGACGAUCAGUAGCCGGUCUGAGAGGAUGAACGGCCACAUCGGGACUGAGACACGGCCCAGACUCCUACGGGAGGCAGCAGUGGGGGAUAUUGCACAAUGGAGGAAACUCUGAUGCAGCAACGCCGCGUGAGGGAAGAAGGUUUUCGGAUUGUAAACCUCUGUUUUUAGUGAAGAAACAAAUGACGGUAGCUAAAGAGGAAGCCACGGCUAACUACGUG
rnacentral:rRNA from 1 species